rnacentral:lncRNA from 1 species
AUGUUCAGUGUGGUACUCACCCUGUAUGACCGGUGUCAGAUCUUGGUCUGCAUUGCCGGCAGUAAGUCGGGCUCGUUUCCAGUGAGAGUUGGACUCUGCCAAGGCUGCUCUUUGUCACCAAUUCUGUUCAUAACCUUUAUGGACAGGAUUUCUAGGCGCAGCCAAGGUGUGGAGGGCAUCCGUUUUGGUGGCCUGAGGAUCAGGUCUCUGCUUUUUGCAGAUGAUGUGGUCCUGUUGGCUUCAUCAGAACGUGAUCUUCAGCUUUUGCUGGAGCGGUUCACAGCCGGGAUGAGAAUCAGCUCCUCUAAAUCUGAGACCAUGGCCUUGAUUCGGAAAAGGGUAGAAUGCCUUCUCAGGGUCAGGGAUGAGGUCCUGCCCAAAGUGGAGGAGUUUAAGUAUCUCGGGGUCUUGUUCACGAGUGAGGGGAAGCUGGAGCGUGAAAUCGAUAGGCAGAUUGGUGCUGCAUCUGCAGUGAUGCGGGCGUUGUACCGGUCUGUCGUGGUGAAGAGAGAGCUGAGUCAGAAGGCGAAGCUCUUGAUUUACCGGUUGAUCUACGUUCCUACCCUCAAAUAUGGUCAUGAGCUUUGGGUAGUGACCGAAAGAACAAGAUCGCUGAUACAAGCGGCCGAAAUGUGUUUUCUCCGAAGAGUGGCUGGGCUCUCCCUUAGAGAUAGAAUGAGAAGCUCGGUCAUCCGGGAGGGGCUCAGAGUGGAUUCGCUGCUCCUCCACAUCGAGAGGAGCCAGUUGAGGUGGCUCGGGCAUCUGGUGAGGAUGCCUCCUGGACGCCUCCCUGGUGAGGUUUUCCAGGCACGUCCAACCGGGAGGAGACCUAAAGGGAGACCCAGGACACGGUGGAGGGACUAUGUCUCUCACCUGGCCAGAGAAUGCCUUGGGAUUCCCCCGGAGGAGCUGGCCCAAGUGGCUGGGGAGAGGGAAGUCUGGGCCUCUCGCCUUAAGCUACUGCCCCAUGACCCGACUCCGGAUAAGCGGACGAAAUGGAUGGAUGGAUGGAUGGAUGGAUGGAUGGAUGGAUGGAUGGAUGGAUGGAUGGAUGGAUGGAUGGACUCACCCUGA